AUGGAGGUGGUUAGGGUGAUCAGAGCAAUGUGAGUGGUGGUUAUGGAGGUGGUUAUGGUGAUCAGAGCAAUGUGAGUGGUGGUUAUGGAGGUGGUUAUGGUGAUCAGAGCAGUGUGAGUGGUGGUUGUGGAGGUGGUUAUGGUGAUCAGAGCAAUGUGAGUGGUGGUUAUGGAGGUGGUUACGGUGAUCAGAGCAAUGUGAGUGGUGGUUGUGGAGGCGGUUAUGGAGGUCAGAGCAGCUGAGUGGUGGUUAUAGAGGUCAGAGCAGUAUGAGUGGUGGUUAUGGUGGUCAGAGCAGUGUGACUGGUGGUUAUGGAGGUGGUUAGGGUGAUCAGAGCAGUAUGAGGGGAUAUGACCACGUUCUGGAGGAAAACUCCAGUGACUGUCAGUCAAACCUU
rnacentral:lncRNA from 1 species